GUUUCAUAGUUUCAUUUGGAGGGAGAUUCGAUUUCAGACUUUCAACCUCGAUAGCACGACCUAACAGUUUCCUCUCAUCUUUUUCUUCUCGGGAAGCUCCCUUUCCAUUUGAGAGGGACGAGUCCAGAGCUUUUAGUGGCCUUGGAGUAGGAAAUUGGGAGAAGCAGCUGGUGGAGGAAAUAGAAUGAAUUUUGAAUUUCGCUUGAUUGGGUUUUUGAGUUUGUAAGUCUCUCCCUUACUGAUUUGUUUUGUUUCUGGGUUUAUUGCUUUAGCUAUAAUAGGUUAUUUCUUGUUUUAUGGAGUUUCUGAAUUUCUAAAUUUAUGGAUUUCAGAGAUUUUGUGGGUUUAGGGUUGAAUUUUGAUUUUGUAGUUUUUGGAUUUUAAACAGAAAUCACCAACUGCAGCUAUGGUGUUCCAAAUUCAAAUAAAACUAGUUAUUUUUU
rnacentral:misc_RNA from 1 species